rnacentral:rRNA from 1 species
CCUGCGUGAAGUCGGAAUCGCUAGUAAUCGCGGAUCAGCAUGCCGCGGUGAAUACGUUCCCGGGCCUUGUACACACCGCCCGUCACACCAUGAGAGUCGGGAACACCCGAAGCCCGUAGCCUAACAGCAAUGAGGGCGCGGUCGAAGGUGGGUUCGAUAAUUGGGGUGAAGUCGUAACAAGGUACC